rnacentral:tRNA from 1 species
GGGAAGGUGGCUCAGUGGUAGAGCGCUUGCCUCGCAUGCACGAGGCCCUGGGUUCGAUUCCUCAGCACCCCA